rnacentral:rRNA from 1 species
UUGAUCAUGGCUCAGGAUGAACGUUGGCGGCGUGCCUAACACAUGCAAGUCGAACGGGAAGCCGAUUUCGGUCGGCGGAGAGUGGCGCACGGGUGCGUAACACGUAGCUCACCUGGCCCGAAGCGCGGGAUAACGCACCGAAAGGUGUGCUAAAACCGCAUAAGCUCACGAUCUGUAGAGGAUUGCGAGAAAAACGCUAGUGCUUCGGGAUGGGGCUGCGGCCCAUCAGCUGGUUGGUGCGGUAACGGCGCACCAAGGCGACGACGGGUAGGGGGCCUGAGAGGGUGGCCCCCCACACUGGGACUGAGACACGGCCCAGACUCCUACGGGAGGCAGCAGUGAGGGAUAUUGCGCAAUGGGCGAAAGCCUGACGCAGCGACGCCGCGUGGGUGAUGAAGGUCUUCGGAUCGUAAAACCCUUUUCUGCGUGACGAUGAUGACGGUAGCGCAGGAAUAAGUGUCGGCUAACUACGUGCCAGCAGCCGCGGUAAAACGUAGGACGCAAACGUUAUCCGGAAUUACUGGGCGUAAAGGGCGCGCAGGCGGUUGGAUAAGUGAGGCAUGAAAGCCCCAUGGCUAAACCUGGGGAGGUUGUCUGAGACUGUCCGACUAGAGUACGAUAGAGGGGUGUAGAAUUCCGCGUGUAGUGGUGAAAUGCGUAGAGAUGCGGAGGAAUACCAGAGGCGAANGCGGCACCCUGGAUCGAAACUGACGCUGAGGCGCGAAAGCAUGGGUAGCGAAC